rnacentral:rRNA from 1 species
UUAGAGAGCUGGCCCUUAUUCGUUAAGAACCCAUUAAUUAGUGUGGCAAUACUAUUAUAAAAAUAACCGCCAGAGGCUACAUACCUUCCGCGCUAAUCGAUACCUGGCUUUUCAAUAAACCAGUUUAAGCUGUAGAAGUUGAAUAAACUCAAACCAUAAAUCAACUAUCUAAAUAAAUUGAGGACAAGCCCGAUUUAAACAUUAAUUAAAAUAAAAAACAAACAUAAAUGUAGGCCCGAAACCAGCCAACAUUAACAUUACGUUAUAGCUCAAAUAAAAAAAAAAUAAAAAAAAAAUAUUUCCCCCAUUGAAAUAAACUUUAAACCAUAAAACUAUCAACCCAUGCAAAGAUUAGUAUUAAACACAUAUCCGGGGAAGGAACUCGGCAAAUACAUAUUCCGCCUGUUUAACAAAAAACAUUGCCUAUAGAUUCCCUAUUAUAGGUACAUCCUGCCCGGUGAACACUUAAACGGCCGCGGUAUCCUGACCGUGCAAAGGUAGCAUAAUAAUUUGCCUUUUAAUUGGAGGCUGGCAUGAAUGGACAAACGAGAAUAUAUCUGUCUCCCCCGGAAACGUAAAACUUUACCUUCAGGUGAAGAGGCCUGAAUACAUAUAAAAGACAAGAAGACCCUGUCGAGCUUUAAUUCGAAUAAGAGCAAAGUAAUUUAAAUAAAAUGCCCUCCCUUAAAUAGAAUAUUUGUUGGGGCAACAAUGGAAUACAUAAAUCUUCCACCAACACCUCAGACCUCGCGUCGCACAAAAGAUCCUCACACCGAUCUUAGGCACUAGCUACCGCAGGGAUAACAGUCUAAUCCCCCUCAAGAGCCCAAAUCUACAGGGGGGCUUGGCACCUCGAUGUUGGCUUAAGAUUUCUCCUAGAUGCAGCAGUCUAGAAAGUGGGUUUGUUCAACCCCUAACGUCUUACAUGAG